GGCCCGGCUCGGCACGGCACCGGGGCGUCCUGGCAGCGCGGGGCUGCCCUGCACCCCCGGGGGAAGGAGCAGCGGGCAGCAACGCGGCAACGGUGUGCGCACACGCACACACACGUAUAGAGAGCUGCAUGUGCGGCGUGGCACGUAUACGCCUCUAUAAGCGUAGACUUGCACGGUCGGACACGCGUAUGGUCGCAGCUGUACGUGCUCGUACAAGGUGACGUGAAUGCAGGACACACAGAAAGGCAAGAGCAGGCACACAUGCAUACAGGCGUUCCUGCGUGCUCCUGUGCUGCACAGAUGAGUGCGAGGGAAAUGUGGGCGCUGUGGAUUCGGAAGACACCUCCCAGGCACGUUCGCCCCGUAUGCACACCUAUGACCAACUUGGGGAUUUCAGAGGUGAGAGGUUUUGCAGCCCUGUGAUAGUUGGAAAUUUGGCAAUGCGCUGGGUACGUUCACCAAAUCUGCUCCGAAUGCAUGCUUCCAACCUGCUGCUACCUUAGCAGCUAAACGUUUGGAAGAAAAAAACGUUAAGUGCCUCUUUAUUGUACAAGUGACAUUUUACAGUCUGCUUAUGCAGCAAAAUUCAGGAGCAGGCCCCGUGAGCGCAUUAGUCCCUGCAAAGGCGAUGCUGGGAACCAUUUGGUAUCUGCUUCCCACCUCCCAACAAGCAGCUAGUCUCCUGCUUUCCAGCUUCUCCACAGUUCAACUCUGAGACGGUCAUGACCCUUAUGCACAGGACAGGGCUUCCUACAAACUCCAGGAGGAGUUAUCUGUAGCUGGGAAAGACAGUCAGCUUCAGCGCGUGAUGUUCAUGAGCAGCAGAAACUUGUUUGCCUUUUCAACCGGUUAGAGUACAUUUAUGUGACACAUCUUUGACUGGCAGCCAUGCCGUAUCGUGCAUCCGUGGUUUUAUGCUUUCGCCUAAACUGCUAACGAGAAACUGGGCAGCUACGGUUGACAUGGCGUGAUCGGCGGGGCAGUGACUGGUGCCCGUCCUUCCUGAACGCGGGCGGCACGCUGCCCUUUGUGCCAGGUUUCUGUAUCCAGAGCCUUCCAAAGGGAAACGUCUGCUCUGAAACAUGCAUUCGUCAGCACAGAAGAACUGUAACCUUUAAACAGACUCAUCCUAACAACGCCAGGAAGGUGUCAUGCUUACUGCAGGAGCAGGCAGAAAAACUGUCAAACAAUAUUUCACCAAGAGCUUCCUAUUGUACGGCAGGUCCUGCAAAACCUUUUCACUUGGUAGACUGAUUUUGUGGCUCCUGCCAGCAUGGAACUGUGCUCGUGCCAGUGCUAUUUAAAUAGAAUAUUUCAUUAAGAGAUCAGCGGUAGGCACAUGGAAAUGACAGCGAUCAUUAAGUCUGCAUUACUAUUGUUUGCAUUAGGGAGCGUGUAGAGGCCCCGGGCAGAGACAGGACUGCACGGUGCGAGAUGCAGCCAGCCCUCCUGCGUGCAGUGCAGUCUGUAAACCAGCUUGCUUUCCAGCGGUCUCUGAAAGAAUACCCUGAGACAAACCAGGCCGAGGUAUCGCUUCCUAGAUGUUCAGAUGCCCCAAUAAUGAACAUGACGGAAGAGAAUAAGGAGAUACUGGAUGAAUUUGCCCUACCCAACGGUGUGCGGUUGAUUUACACCAUUUCUGACCCCCAAGCAGAGGUACUUUUCAUUACACAAAUCCCUGCAGCGUGAUUAGUUUGCCUAAUACUUGCCCUGCUUUUUCUCAGGGCAGAAUACAAAUCCUGGUGCUCCCAUUGGUUGGCAGCAUCAAGGAGAUGGCGAGAUUUGUGUGGCCACUGCAAGAUGAUUUCUCUGUAACUGCAGACGGUUUCACACAUUGCUCCUUGCACUACCAAAGGCAGAGUCCGCUCUCCACAGUACUCUGUUAAAUGGGUCUGAGUGGCCAAAUGUGGUUAGUGAGGAGAAGGGGAGAAGGGGAAAUGAAAGAAGGAAAGAGUCUUGAAAUCAAUAUGAAGCAAAAGAUGGAUGGCAGGAAGGAGAUGGAUACAUGGAGGAGAGAGAAAGAAAGAAUUAUUGAAACACUAAGGAGAAAUGUAAUCGAGAAGAACUUCUCUCCAUGGCACAAAAGAAAGGUGCUCUCAGGAUGGAUAGUGUGGGUAAACAGCUAUAGUGUUGGAUGUCACAUCCGUGUUCAGAUCCAAAUUGUGCCUGUUUUUCAACUUGGGUUAGACAAACCAAGGUAAGAACACACCUUUUAUAGCAUUGCACCUACUAAUAACUCUUUGACUGUUUGGUAAUAAAUACAAUCUGUCCUGCGGUUCACCCCAUCACUUGUCUUGACAUACGCUGUGUGGAAAGGCAGUGAGUCUUCUCCACUUACCAGUCACAGCUCUCAACACCAGGACAAGAGAGUAGCAAUGCAGGUGAGAUUUACAGUGCAAUCAAUGUGAUAUUCAUUUGUUUUCUCAACACAUAUCUUUAUCACACUAGUAAUGCAUAAAUGCUUACUUUAAACUGCAGAGAAACAUGGACAAGUUUUAAGAUCUAAUGCAGCUGAUAGAAUUCAAUUAAAACACAAUUUGGAUCAAGACGGUCUGCGAUACCAGGCACAUGUGAUUAAAAUUCUUAUGAUUGGGAAUUUGCACACCUUCAAAUCCUUAUUUGACAAGGAAAACCGCCAGAAAUAGAUAUUUAAAUCAGCAUAUCUCUGGUUUAUUGAAUUGUUGUUAUACACUCUCUGAGGCUUUAGCUAGCUGGAUACCUCUCAGACUGGCCAAACCAUUUUGAUUUAAGAAGUUUAUUCUUUCGCUCAGGCAAAGUCCCCAUUGGGUUGAAAUAAAUCUGAUCAGGCAAGUGAUUUCUGGCUUUCUGUUCCUGGUACGAGCACAUUUCAUCAAAACUGCAUGUGUUGGGGAGCUGGUGACCCUGGCCAAGACUGGCAACUUCUGCUUGAGAACCUAGACCUUCUUUCUAGCAGCGGUGGAUGGCAGUGGGUGCAGUGAGGUUUCUUAGAGUGACAGCUCUACGGUAGGGGAUAACAUGAAAUGGUUGUGGAUUAGAAAACCUCCCUCUACCCACUAUGGGUUGCCAUUUUUCCCUUAAGUCACACAUCCUGGUUCUGACUGAUCCACUCAGCAGUUCUUGUAUUCCAUUAGAUUUUAAACGAGAUGCAGCCAUUUCAAUAAGUGACAUGCAUGUGUCUAAAUGAACGAAGGAAAUGUUUUCUUAGCCUUUGCUGCAAAGGUUUUCUUGGUCAUCACCGGCAGUCAUGCUGUAAGCACACGCCUGUGUUCACAGGCAGCGAUUGUGCUCCAAGCUGUGCACGCAGCCCUGUCUAGGGCUGCUGCAAGGAAAAUGUUGCAGUCGCCUAAAAUGCACACAGAUUUUCUAUGUCCUGUUCCCUCUUCAAAAUGCUAAAGGUAUCAGCCGGUGUAACUGUGCCAUGCUUGAAUGUGCUUAUGUUUCAACUGGGCUUGAUUUAUAAGUGCUUUUAUUUAUAUCUGCUAGUUUCACACCUACCCUGAGAUGUGAAGGGUUUUUUCUGAAUGCUGCUAAGAAUUGUGCUGGUACCUCUUGAGCGCGGUGUGGUUAAUGCCCUCAUCUGUAGUAUCUGCUUGGGGAGGUAGGAAACCACGCUCAGGAGCUUUGCUGGCCUUCCUUGUUAUUGGCAUGUUUGGUGAAAAAUAUUGCCCGCUGUUGUGGACUGUCUAUGUGUCUAAAAACAAGUAACAUUUACAUCCUGGCAGAAUACUGAACAACCCCCCUCUUUGUGAGCUGCCCAGGUUUUUCUGUUGCUGAGACUGUCACCUACUGGCCAUGGAGCAGCUCACCAGGAUCUCGGGAACAAAAUCAGUCUGAUGAAUUAAAUACUCAGCUUUGCCUUUAGAAAUUACACCACUGAGAUGUUCCUGUUUUAUCUAACGGUAAACAGGGUGGUAAUUUUGUAAAUGGAGAUAGAUCAGGAAUCCCGAAAGCUUCUUCAUUUAUAAAAUGUCCAGAUUUCAUGGAGUUUUAAUGCAAAGGAAACCAGGAUCUCAUCACAGUGGAGAUGUGGGGUAAAAUGCUAGUUCCAGUAAACUUAAUGAAAGCAAAAUAAGCCAUAACCAAUACUCAAGGGAAAAAAAAAAAAAAAAAGGACCAGCUAUUCUGUCUCUGUUGGAUUUUUGUCAUGUUAGACCAUGGAUACAAGACGACCUUAAGAAAGGGCCACACCUUAGUAUUGACCAGCAGAGCUCAACAGAAAUCAAAGGAUCUUUACUGAAGAUCUAUGCUACAGCUUUUACAGGAAAGGAGAAUUGCUCUAAAAAGCUCUUUUAGCCCUGUCCUUGUCCUGCCCUCCCAUCUGUUGUCACUGCUAGCUCAUUUUCUGCCAGUCUCUGGGCCAGAACCUCAACCAGCGUAAACUAGAGUAAGUUUGAAUUCAUAGCUAGAAUAUGGGACUGUGGGGUGGUUUAUUUACCCGUUUUGAGGAGUGCCCCCCCCGUUCCUCCCCAGACCUGAGAGCAGGUUAAUGUACUGCCUGAAAUGCGUUGUUCAGCUGGGAUUUUUUCUGUUUAAGACACAGAAAUAAGUUGCAACGCUGGACAACAGGUGCCAAACUGCAAUACUGCAUCUCUACUGGUUAUUCUAAUGGAGCAUCACUCUCUAUAGCUCUUCCUAAAAUCUGUGGGUUUUUCUUACAUGUAAUUGAGCUGUAUUACUGGCAUUCUGCAGGAUUGCUCAUAGCAAAGGAAAGCUAGUGCCAUAGAGGCUGUUUAAUGACAAGUAUCCUCAGCUCACUUGGUGUUACACAAGGGUAUUGCUGCCUGAAAGCACGUCUAAAGUAAUCCUCAAGCUCACUGCUGUAUGUUGUAGUGAAACUUUAAAGAGGAGAUUUUUUUUUUUUAUGGAUGUUUUUCAUACGCCUCAGUUCAUAUCUGUAAAAAAUAAUUUCAUGUACUUUAGAAAUACUUUUUGACUGUGUAGUCACUACACAUCCUAGCACUGAAUUUACACAAAGUGGCCAUAUUUUUAUUUCUUGUUAGAUUUUUUUGUGAAAUGGAUACAUUAUUUCCCUUUAUUUCCCUUCAUUCUUGUAUUUGGACACUUACAAGCUUUAAUUGUUGUUGGAGAACACUGGGUGCCUGGAUGUCUCUCUUAUGAAAGCAAGCGGCUGGUUAAAAAGAAAACCAGAGAGAUUAGAGUCUGCGUGAAAUUUCACUAAAUUCAGUGAAAAGGGUCAUUUCAAAAAAUUUAGGAUCAGAUUUCAAAUGCAUUUCAUGAAUGGCUUUGGACUGGUGGAUUAAUAUAGGAUGCUGAGUCUCAGUCCCCCCCACUGUACAGGAAGGAUAAUGCUAUUUGCCUCCCCUAUAGGUUACCUCACUACUCACUUCUUGUGCACUGUUGUAAAAGAGCAAAACACUUCAAGGCCUUGGACUUGGAAACCUCUGGCUCGCAGCCAGGUAGACCCUGAGGCCAGCUCUCACAAACAUCAAGGGGGAAAAACCACAGCCUUUCCAACUUCAUUGAGAAUAUGAGUCUUUGCCUGAAAUGCUCUCUUUUCAAAUUUGUGAAUGCAAAACUAAAAAAAAAUCCCUCUGGCUUCCUUCUCUGCUAUCCACCCACACUUCUCAGUAAGUCAUUUCCUUGGAGCUGGUGGGAUCUUUAUUCAGGCAGAAGAUGGCUGGGGAGUGUUGUCUCUCUAAGUACCGUGGUGGCUUGGGAGUGCAGGCUCUCCAGGGCCAUCAUGCAGCCUCUUCAGUCCUGUCUGUCACUUUAUUUAUCACAUGGAAAUAUUCUCUCACCACUGGAGAAAGAUUCCAUUUAAAACUCCUCUUUUACUGGUAAAUUUACUUUGUACCGAGACAAAACAUGACUUAAUAUUGGUUUUGAGGGUAAAUAAAGGGCAACGAAGAUUCUAGCCUAAAAAAUGUAGCCUGUGAAUUUUAUCCCUGCACUGCGCAUUCAUUUUAAUGGUCCUUGCUGUGUGUUUUAUUGAAGGCUGAGUCAUAAGCAGAUCUUACUGCUUUGGAAGGAAGGAAAUGGAGUUUAGGCAAAAACAUUGUGUCUCAAAUGGAUCCAGCAAAGAGAGACUGCUCAAGCUGUGAAAAUGCAAUGAUGUAUCUCAGCAAAAGGGAGAAUUGAAGGUCAAAAAGAAAUUCCUUGUGCUGUGUUAGAGUUUUCAUCACCUGAAGCAUGUCUGGACACAGUGAUAUUUCUAGUGACAGUGACAUCCCAGUGAGAAGAGCAGAUCCUGCUCUUGUCCCUCCCCUCAAAAAACAGUCCUGGAGUUAACAGGACUCCCUCCUGGGUCUCAUAUUUUGAUGUUAAUGAUGAUGAAUGUUUGCUCACCACUUGGGGCUGACACAGUUGUUGUUGGGACUUGGUCAAGGCAAAGCAUUUUUGACUGAGGUUGUUGAGGAAGGAGAUUGAAGGUAUUGUGUUAUGCCAGCACCUCUGCAGGAUGUAGGAUGGUUCCUUUGCAGAUGCCCUUAGGAGUAUUGUCUUUGGCUGGGGAGGAGAGGGGCGAACCACGCAAGCUGAGCUGUGCAGCUUGGAAGAAGGUGCUGCCUGCUGGGCAAAAUCAGCCAUGCCUAGGAAUGUGCAGCAGAGCAUCCACCCUGUCGUUAGAAGUCACCUCCGUCUCACAUCAUGAGUGGGACUGGACCACAGUGUAGUGCAGGAGAAGUCAUGAGAUUCAAAGGGGGAUCUUUCAUGCCCUUUGUCACAAACAGUAUCUUUUUUUCCUGUUUUUUUACCCCAGUUACGUUAGUGUUUCUAAGGCAGGGACUGGAUCAGGUGUUACCUCCAGAAGCAGAGGCAGGCUGCCCUUUCUCUGCUACUGAGCACAUUCAGAAGGAAGAUCUGAGACCUGGACAGAGGAUGAAGACAGGGAGCACAGCCCAGGAGCUGGAACAGCUCGGGCACAGAGAUCAAGAAACUGCAGAGGAGUGGGCGGAAGGCAGCCAGGCUCGGGGCUCCCCAGGGAUCCACUUGGACAGGCACAGCUGGCUGCAGCUCAAAAAGUCACUGACUUGCAGCCAAGCCUUGAAAUAGGGUAGGCAGAGCGCUGCAUGUUCAGUCUCUGAUAGUUUGACUUUGAAUUUGUUUAGAAAGUUAAGUUUCUUUUUUUUUUUUUCAGGUAAAGCCUGGCUGUUCGAGGUCAGAAGCUUUUUGAUCUUCUUCAGGGAGCGCACCAUGUGGGAGAGGUUUAGGCGUACCUAAUUCAAAGCUCUGGACCUUCCACCCCCUUUUCUUUGGUGUAGGAUGCCACUGCUGUCACACUCUGAGAGGCAGUGAAAGACCAGAGCAUUCAUUUGGCAGGAUGUCUUUAUAGGAGCCACUGUCCCGCUGACAAGAGGUGGCCCAAGAGUGCUCCCUCCUGCCUUCUGGGCAGGACAUGGUGGUCCUUCUUCUGCCUCCCCUGGAGUUACGGUAGGGCAGGUUGUCCUCUGCUGCAGCCAGUCAGUAAAGUGAAGGGUCUGAGGCCUGCAAGGAGAUAGCAGCUUCCGAAGGGUCACUCAGUACCACCAGACACGGCCAGACUGGUGAGGCUAUUUAUGAAAUUAUUAUUAGCAAAGCUACCUAUCAAAUACAGCUGUGAAAAUGUGGCCUUUUUGUUUUCCUCCCCCUCCCUUUGGCCAGCUGGUGUUCCUCCUACAUGGUACAGAGGGAUUUUAUUUUGUUAAGGUUCAGGCUCAGGCUGCAAAUCUGGCUGAUAUUCAAAGGGGCUUUGGAGAACAUCUGAAGUUUCUGAGAGUCCUGGCCAUUGAGGGCCACAUUUCUCCAGGCUUCUUCUGGUUUCUACUCUCCCUUGGGUUUUAUAUUGCAGUAGGGAGGAAUAAAAGGCCCUUUCCAUUUUUAGGAUCUAAAAUGAAGGAACUGAACAGGAAGAAAAUGAUAAACUUAGUUUUAGAAAUAUUAGUGGUUGAGUUUCAUGAACUUCUUGGCCUUAAGGAAUGAUACCCAAAUAGGCGUUGCACAUGCAGAAAGCCUCUGUUUUAAAUCAGAUGUGUGCACACCGACUGUCUCUGUAGCAUCCCUGGAAGGGAGGCAUUCGUUGGCCCAUGUACCCCCAAUUCAGACAGCUUUCAGCUGGCAGGCAGGACCGGGAGCUCUGCAGCAGGGCAGGAGUUGGGCUGCCACAAUCCAGUAGAUCAGAAUCUUUAAGUGCGUUUAAGAUAAUCUUGAUUUUGCAAAUAUUUAUACAAGUAGCAUUGUGUUUAGUUAGCAAGCCCCUUAGGUGUCAUGGUACUUCAAGUAUUUUCAAACUCUGACUUUACAUCCUGGUAAACUGAAGACUCCCACUCCUGAUUUUGAGUGUGAGGCCUCCAGCUGAACCUGUACUACAAAUACAGCUCCAGGUGUUGCAUGCAGUUAUGUGCAGGCAUAAUAUUUAUACUUUUCUAAUAGAUUUGUAUACCCAUAUGGAAAAAAACAACAUCUGGGUUUAACCAUUAUUUUGUUUAGGUUUGGGAGAGUAUUUUCGUUUGCCUGUUGUUUGUCAUUGUAACCUCAGAAGAUAAAGGUCUUCAGCCAGCA